AAUUUAAAGUCUAAUCUGCCCACUGAUAUAAAAUUAAAGGGCUGCAGUAUAUUGACUGUACAAAGGUAGCAUAAUCAAUAGUCUUUUAAUUGAAGACUUGUAUGAAAGAUUUGAUGAAAUAUAAACUGUCUCUAAUUUAAAAUUAGAAUUUAAUUUUUAGUUAAAAAGGUAAGAUUUAUUUAAAAGACGAGAAGACCCUAUAGAGUUUUAUAUUAUUGUUAUUUAAGAUUAUAUUUAUAAUUAAUAAUUAAAAGUAAUAUUAAUAUUUUGUUGGGGUGACAGAAAAAUUAAAAUAACUUUUUUUAAAUUAAUACAUAAAUAAGUGAAAAUUUGAUCCAUUUAUAAUGAUUAAAAGAAAAAAUUACCUUAGGGAUAACAGCGUAAUAUUUUUUUUUAGUACAAAUAAGAAAAAAAGUUUGCGACCUCGAUGUUGGAUUAAGAUAAAAUUUAAAUGCAAAAGUUUAAAAUUUUGAUCUGUUCGAUCAUUAAAAUCUUACAUG
rnacentral:rRNA from 1 species